rnacentral:rRNA from 1 species
UACGAAGGGGGCUAGCGUUGUUCGGAAUCACUGGGCGUAAAGGGCGCGUAGGCGGCUGUUCAAGUCGGGGGUGAAAGCCUGUGGCUCAACCACAGAAUUGCCUUCGAUACUGGACGGCUGGAGACCGGAAGAGGUCAGUGGAACUGCGAGUGUAGAGGUGAAAUUCGUAGAUAUUCGCAAGAACACCAGUGGCGAAGGCGGCUGACUGGUCCGGUUCUGACGCUGAGGCGCGAAAGCUAGGGGAGCAAACGGG